rnacentral:miRNA from 14 species
ACGUGCGUGCGCGCGCGCGUGUGUGUGUGUGUGUGUGUGUGUGUGGUGUGUGUGUGUGUGUGCGCGCGCGCGCACUCACAUG